GAUGAACGCUGGCGGCGUGCCUAAUACAUGCAAGUCGAGCGAACAGACGAGGAGCUUGCUCCUCUGACGUUAGCGGCGGACGGGUGAGUAACACGUGGAUAACCUACCUAUAAGACUGGGAUAACUUCGGGAAACCGGAGCUAAUACCGGAUAAUAUAUUGAACCGCAUUGUUCAAUAGUGAAAGACGGUUUUGCUGUCACUUAUAGAUGGAUCCGCGCCGCAUUAGCUAGUUGGUAAGGUAACGGCUUACCAAGGCAACGAUGCGUAGCCGACCUGAGAGGGGGAUCGGCCACCCUGGAACUGAGACACGGCCCAGACUCUUACGGGAGGCAGCAGUAGGGAAUCUUCGGCAAUGGGGGAAAGCUUGACGGAGCAACGCCGCGUGAGGGAGGAAGGUCUUCGGAUCGUAAACCUCUGUUAUUAGGGAAGAACAAAUGUGUAAGUAACUAUGCACGUCUUGACGGUACCUAAUCAGAAAGCCACGGCUAACUACGUG
rnacentral:rRNA from 1 species